CGCCCCUAUAACUGUGUAAUCAUGCUUAUGUACAUCUGGAUAAUGACACAAACUGUGUGGCGCUUCACUUUUUAAUAAACUAAAAGACAUAAAUCAGGUUAUAGGAUCUGUAGUGUUGUUUAUUUAUAUUAUGGUACUUAUCAUUUGUGAUAUUUAUUACUGUGUGCAUACUUUAUUAGAAGAGAAAACAAAUCUCUUCCUUGCAGGCUCCAUCGAAGAAGAAAUGCUCAAGUAACUAUGUAGCACGUAAACAAUCCAAUUCCGCAACACAAUGUGAUGGGGGAAUCAGCUGUGUUUUGCUGCCCAUUUUAUUUCGAAUCUGGCGCGAACCAGUGAACCAGUUCCCGAAUCAGUCACGUGGUACGGACUGCCCGCGAAGCCUCGAACGUCACUGCAUACGUAUUCAAAGCAAGCCUCGAUACGCGCUUCACAGACACGCCCCCGAGAUUACCCGAAGCGCGAUUCGAAGCUUCGACACACAGGACACAUCACUACUUAAAAGCAGCACAAAAGAACAGCUAUGUCUUCAGUGUCGGUGUCUUCAGUGAGAGCCAAAACAAACCAGCGUGAAACAACUCAACUCGUUUAACCUGAUGAAACGGUCUCCACUUCAUGAGACAUCACCUAGACACAGAGCUGGAUGAGGCCAGGACAAACAGCAGCCUAACCGACGAAGAUGAUGGAUCCAUGGGGUCAGGAAAGCCAGAAGCAGAGGAACUGGAGAGGUACCUUUCAUGUCCAUUCACUGGAGGUGUGGAUCUAUUGCAUGGCUUUCCUCAGAUCAAGAAGCUGUCGAUCAAAGUCAAUACAGCUCUUCCUGCAUCUGCAGCCUGUGAGAGACUUUUUAGUCAUGCAGGACUCCUGUUCACUGCCAAACGGUCACAGCUUCACAGCAAGAACCUUGAGAGCAAACUGCUGUCUGAUUUGAUGUUACAAUUAAAAAUGUUUGUGUUUUUAUCUGAAGAGUUUAUAAAUAUCUGGUUUCCACUGUAUAUUUGAUGAAUGUCAGCACAAAGAGGGAGAGAGAGGAACAAGAGCAGGUGAGACACACAUGUUAGUCAAAUGGUUGUUUACCAAAAGUAUCACCGUAUCACAGGAACUCAUGUA